rnacentral:lncRNA from 1 species
UGAGAGGAUUUCUUUAUUUCGCGUUCAGACCCAACACACUCGGACACCUUGGGGCCCUGUGAGGGCUAAGCAGGGUGGUGGCGUCAGCUCCCGGGGAGGCCCCACUCCCUGGGGAGGAAAUACACGGCAGGGGGCCGCACCCAGCCCCCCACGGAGGGACCCGUGUUGCUCUAACAGGGACACUGAAGGCUCUGUCUCACGCACACGGGCACAGGCACGCAGGUGCCGGCCCUGCCGCUGGCUCCCAAGAGGCCGAUAGCCCGGUAGGGAGGUCACACACACACAGCUG